UGAGACAGUCUGUUAUUCUGCACGUCUGUCAAGAGGACAGCACAAUGCCAAACAACAAGGCUCUCAGGGCCGGUUUCAAUCAAAGAGACAAUGACGUGUCAACACGGCGCAUCUGCUGACACUUCGCAGAACAGCGAAAAUCAGAAGAAAAUGUUUAAAGAAGCUGGCCAUGAUCAUGAUUUUCUUCACAUUUCCCAAAAAGAGAUAAAAGGUCAUUGCUUCAUGGGACAUUAGCUGUGUCACCCCCCGGCAGAACAACAACACAGAAGGACAUCAAAACAUGCAAAACACAAGGAGGCCUAUAAUACAUGCAGAAAGCUGUAAACAUUCCCAUUCGUCUCAACUGCAGUUACUCGGCUGGUGCGGGACCCCCGUAAGCAUGCGAUUUGAACUGUGGAUAGUGGUCAGAGUGACAUUGUUUUGGAUCCAACAAAGUUAGCAGUUUAGCUAAUGCUAAUAAACAGGUUUCUGUUCUGUUCCAUAUAUGAAAUAUGUGCCAUAAUUGAGGGUAUUCCCUGUUCAUAUUAAAAGGUUUUUGUGUACAUUGCUGUGCAUAUGAAUACGCAACAACAUAGAAUCAGUGUAUUGACAGCAUUUAAAAAGUACAUCAUUUACUUUAGAAAUAACCUAUAUGAUUUCAAUAUUCUGUGUACUUAUAAACAUUUUUACAACUCUAAAGUUGUACAUGUGUAAAAGUCUUUGUUUUUAAAACGCUGAUGUUGUAUGCAUCAGUGUCUGUCCAAACAAACAACAAGCAACACUUUAUAAAUGAAUAAUAAUGAGAUCACUUUGCAUAAUCAGGUAGCCAUUGUAAAGGGAGGACUCAAAUGCUUUGACAAUGUCACAUUGAAAAGCUUGUAUUCGUGACAUUGUUAAUGUAAAAUAAAAGGCAAAGAAGCGUGCACAUGGACCUAAUAGCGAAUUGUCAUUUAAUUGCUCACCUCUACAGAGCUAGAAACCAUUUGACAUGCUCAAGAAGCUUUUCUAAGCCGGGCUGCAUUCUGAUUGAUAGUAAAAUUCGGAGCACUUGACAAUUAAUCUUUCAAAGAGAGAGUCAUUAAUAAUGCAUAGCGUAAUUCCCCUGAGUAUAGAGAGCAAUAAGACAUAACCGCUUUUUAAGUGAGAGGGGAGAUGUGGAGUGGUAGCUGGAUUUCAGAUUCAUCAUUCACACUGGAUAUGGCCAACAUCUGGUUUGGUGACCAUAAACAAGAUUGUUUAAUUUGCAAAAGCAUUGCCAUUGCAGCUGGUAUACAAACUAUUAAUGCAGAGUGCCGUUUUAGAGGUUGUCGCGCAGUUUACACAAAGAUAGGAUCAUAUCUCAUAUAUUUACAGUUGGCAAGGUCAUGUGAUGCUAGUCUGUUUUCUGCAUAUUUAAUGUUUAUUAUGUUAUCAGAGCUGAGCGAUUUUGAUAACACACAUGAUUUCAGUUUGUGCAGAGCUCACUGAAUGAAGUUGUUUUAUUUAUUUAUUUUUAUUUCUUAAGAUUAGGCAUCUCGCAGUUCUCAUUUGUACACAAGUUAGAAAUUUGUAGAUGCCAAAGUUUAUUGCACAAGCUUAUGAGGAUUGGCCCACAGGCUGAAUAAGGCUAGAUCAGUAGGAGAAAGUACAUUACUCAUUUGUCUCCAAAUCUUC